AGAGUUUGAUCCUGGCUCAGGAUGAACGCUGGCGGCGUGCCUAAUACAUGCAAGUCGAACGGGAAGUAUUAAUUUCGAUUUUUACUUCUAGUGGCGAACGGGUGAGUAACGCGUUGGUGACCUGCCCCGAAGAGGGGGAUAACUCCGCGAAAGCGGUGCUAAUACCCCAUGUGGUCUCUGAGAUUAGAUGCUCGGUGACUAAAGGAGCAAUCCACUUCGGGAGGGGCCUGCGUCCCAUCAGCUAGUUGGUAAGGUAACGGCCUACCAAGGCGAUGACGGGUAGGGGACCUGAGAGGGUGGUCCCCCACACUGGCACUGAAACACGGGCCAGACAUCUACGGAUGGCAGCAGUAGGGAAUAUUGCACAAUGGGCGAAAGCCUGAUGCAGCAACGCCGCGUGCGCGAAGAAGGCCUUCGGGUUGUAAAGCGCUUUUCUGGAGGAAGAGGAAGGACGGUACUCCAGGAAUAAGGAUCGGCUAACUACGUGCCAGCAGCCGCGGUAACACGUAGGAUCCGGGCGUUAUCCGAAUUUACUGGGCGUAAAGCGCGUGUAGGCGGCUGGGUAAGUUGGACGUGAAAGCUCCUGGCUCAACUGGGAGAGGUCGUUCAAAACUGCCCGGCUAGAGGGCGACAGAGGGAGGUGGAAUUCCCGGUGUAGUGGUGAAAUGCGUAGAUAUCGGGAGGAACACCAGUGGCGAAGGCGGCCUCCUGGGUCGCCCCUGACGCUCAGACGCGAAAGCUAGGGGAGCAAACGGGAUUAGAUACCCCGGUAGUCCUAGCUGUAAACGAUGUGGACUUGGCGUUGGUGGGGUCAAAUCCAUCAGUGCCGGAGCUAACGCGAUAAGUCCACCGCCUGGGGACUACGGUCGCAAGAUUAAAACUCAAAGGAAUUGACGGG
rnacentral:rRNA from 1 species